rnacentral:sRNA from 1 species
UGCAGGCAAGAAGAUGGAACUGGAAAAUAUCAUCUGAAUGAGGACUGAAGUCAAGGACUGCUGUGGUUGAAUUAAGGAAAGGCUGGAAGAAGCUGAAGAGGUUGGCGACCCCAAAAGAAGACCAGAAGUCUCAACUCUCCCAGACUCCUGAGAUCUCUCAGACAUUGAGUCCCCAACCAGCAGCAUACAAGAACUGGUGGGAGGACCCUGACGCAUAUACAGCAGAGGACUGCCUGGUCUGGCCUCAGUGAGAGAAUCCUUGCCUAACCCUUUAGAGACUUGAGGACCCAGGAAGUGGGGAGACCUGGUCAGUGUCUUCGAGUAACUGUUGGUUGCCUUUGGUGGCCAGAUGAUGGUGUGAGAUCCCCUAAACUGGAUUUACUGACAUUUGUGAGUUGCCAUGUGGGUUCAGGAGAGUCAACCUGGUUUCUCUGGAAGAGGAGAUAGUCCUUUUUAUUACUGAGCCAUACCUCCGUUCCCUCUUUCAAAUUCUGUUUUUAAUUCUUCUCUCAUGUAUUACAGCCCAAAAAAGAGAUUUUUAUCUCUCCUCUCCUCAGGGUCAGUCUUCCCUACCUGUCUACUCCCCCCAAGACCUUUCCUGUAUUAUUGUCAUGUUUGUCUCUAAUGUAGUAUCUUGUUUGUUGAGUUUUGUUAUUUGGUUACACAGUCAUUGCUAAAAGAUUUGUCGUAAGAUUUAAAUUUGUGUUUUGUUUUUCAAACGAUUGUAAAGGAAAUUUAUUGUGUUUCCAAAAUAUUGUCAAUAUUAAAAUAUGAAAACUCUCUAUGUUUAUUUAGUGGUUCAGUGGUAGCUAUCAACACAGCAGAAUCCAAAAUCAGCUUGGAGGCAAGUCCUUCGGACAUCUCUGAGGGGUCAUCUUGUUGUUUGAAGAACCAUCUUAAUUGUAACUAAGAACAUCCCCUGGGUGGAAAAUCCUGUAUUGCAUAAAAUGAUGAAGGCAGGAGAAAUGACUUCAAUUCAACAUGAAAUUAAUCCCCCAGACCAUCAUUAGAGUGCAAAGGUGACCUGAGCAUCUGAGCCUUCAGGAAGACAUGCUUCAUGGAUCUCAAUUUGGAUUUCUGAACAGAGAAACAGGUAUCAUCAAUUACUGGUACUUGUAAUGCACAACAUUGCCAUGAAGAAAACGGAAUUAGCACAGAGCAUGCAGAGUACCUUCCAACUCCAUGAACAUUACAUGUGAAGCUUCAAGUUUGGUAUCUGCACAAUUUCUCAAUGGUUGAUGACAGAACAUCCUGAGAAGAUCACACUGGAGACCACUACUCUGAUCUAAGAUAUAAACUGCAAGUACUUUCCUGAUGAGGAGUAGGACUCUGUGUUUAUACCCUUAACCAAUGCUGUAACUGUGAUCUAUGGCAAGGGAAGAACAAGAUCUCAGGACUGCUUCAUCACCUUACGAAGAUAUUCAAAAAUACAUAAUACUAGAAGAAAUUUUUUUCUUUCAAUCUUAGAAUGUGGAGGGAAUCUUUCUUAAUUAGUGUACAGUUGACAGAGGAUACCUAGGGAGUUUAUUCCCAUGCUGAGAUACCAAUUCCUUACUACUGUCCACAGCAUUCUUAGAUACUUCCUUUUCAAAGUGAUUCUAGCAGAGGCAAAAAGUUCGUAGGUGUUCAUACUGUAAUUAAGAAUUAUUAUGGAAAAAGAAUUUUAUUAUGCAAAAAGUGUUUAUGCAUAGACAGUGGAUAGAAAGGCUCAAUUCUGCAACUCAUGUGUUAUCUUUGACUUUUUAAAAGGAGCUGUUCACUAGAGAGUAGCUGCAAGGAAUGGAAAAUUUGAUGAGCCAAACUGAGGAAGAUUGAUGAAGCAGAGAGCUGACAUCAAUUCACAUUGUGGUGUAAUCAUUUUUCUAUAAACGGUAUUUCUGAUACGGAGUCUCAGUGUACUUUGUAGUGAGGUUGCAAAUUCAAGCACUAAUGCAAUGCUUCCUGUCAGCAUCCUGAGAAGAUCACUCUGGAGACCACUACUCUGAUCUAUGAUAUAAACUGCAAGUACUUUCCUGAUGAAGAGUAGGACUCUGUGUUUAUACCCUUAACCAAUGCUGUAACUAAUAAUGUAAGAAUGGAGAUUUCCUUCAUUUUAAUAUCUACAUGGAUGAGAUUGGUGGCAUUAAGAAAGACAUUGAUGUGGAAACGUAAAGGAUAUUUGUGAUGGAUAUAUGACUAGUUUCUCCUUCAGAACACCAUGGCAGCAACCAAGGUAUCACCAAGAAGCCGUAGAAGCAAUAUGACUACAAAUGUGGUUACUGAGAAACGUAUCUAAUUGUGUUUCAACCCUCAGAGAUACUUCUGAUGUAAGGUAAGAAAUAUAGUAAAAAUAUAUGGGCCUGACAAUUUAAUAUUGGCUUUCAGUAUAGAGGAGAAAACUGUCUCCUGGGCUCUGUGGGAGUUCCAGUUGAGGUGGGCUUUAGGACAAGGAUCUCAUCUGUGUCCCUGGUUACAGGAGACCUGCUGGGAGACAGGCAAGCUAUAGGAUUUAGCAUGGAUCAGACAUGUUGAUCUCAUUUAUUAUGGAGUAAUUAGCUCUGAACAAUGGGUGAAGUAUACACCAGAAAGAGAGAUUGAAAGUAAAAUAGAAGAGACAGCAGAUCAGUUUCAGGCUAACAGCACCUCUCAGCUCACAUGAGGAAUCAAUGAUCUGGCAAUGUUCCAGGGGCAGGGACUGUGUCACACCUUCCCUUAUGCAGACAGGUAAUGUUCAAGGAGCCCAGAUUGAGACUGAGAGCUGAAAAACUGUGGCAAGGCUUUUCUGCUUUUAUAUUGUAGACAGGCACAAAAUGUCAAAUUUGGGAUACUCAGUAGGUACAAAACCAUGGUAAGAACAUGGGUGAAGAUCUAAACACUGUUUAUCCUACAGCUAUCUCGUUUCCAAAAUGUGUCUGAUUUAUAGGAGCUAUAACCCCAACUUGGUACCUUCUCUGAGUUAAAAGCCCACAGACUAGUGAAAAGCUCCAGAGACAUCAACUGAGCAAGUCCUAAGAUGAUAUUUUUUAAAAAUGAAAAAUAUAAAAAAUUAUUUUACAGCUGUGAAGGUCAAAAGUUUAAGAAGACCCAGAUUAUACUAUCAAUAAAUAACAACAUCUACCCCCACAAACCAGGAGCACAUUGGAGUCCUGUAGCAAUUAGUUUAGGUGUCUGAGGCAAUGACCUUUAAAGACAAUUCAGCACUGAAAUUCCUAGAGUUAUAGAAUCUUCCA